GUUAACCUAAUAUUAUAUUAUGCUUAUACGAGAUGUAGAGAUAUAAUAAACUAAAUGUCUUAAUUUGUAAAUAGUUAACACUAGAGAUGUGACAAUCUGUUCGAUUUUAGAACUGAACCAAAUUGAACUCUGUGUGUUUGGUUCGGUUACAAGAUUGAACUAAAAAUUGUAUAUAAUUGAACAGAACUAUUGGGUAUUGUUUUCGAUUCGAAAAUCAUCAAUGCUGAUUCUACGCGGACACCAAUAUGAUGUUCUGUGAUAGGACAGAGUGGCCUUGUUCCAAAAAAGAAAAAUUCUAUUUUUUUCGCAUAAUAUUAAAAUUAUUUUACAUUUUUAAAACCGUUCGGACUUACUUAUUACUUAACCUUUUUACUUUUUUGAUGUUUGAGUUCAAGUUCGAUAAAAUAUUUUAAAAGUUCAGUUUGGUUCAGGUUCAAAUAAAAAUAUGUAGGUUCCGUUCAUUUCGGUUCGACCUUAAAAAUCAGGGUUUUUAAUAUUUCUAUUUGACACUUGACACUUUGACAGGUAAUUUGGUAAUUUCCUAAAGUAUUUAUACUCUAGUUCUGAUUUUUAGAUUUUGAACGCAGUCAAGAAUGUUUUGGUUUUAUUAUACUCUUUUUUUUUUCUUUCUAUUUGUAAAUUUUCUACCAGAAACUUGAUCAAUCCAAUAAAGAAGAGAAGAGUUUUUUGUAGAAUUUCAUAUCUAGUUGGUGCAAUGAAUUGGUUAUUUUUCAUUUUCCUUGAAAUUUGAAACAAACUUAUUUUUAAUCG